rnacentral:lncRNA from 1 species
GGCAGGGGUGUUACUUUUGCAGGGAGUGCAAAAGAAUCAAAUAUGUCAACUGAUGGAACUGUGAGUGUGACUUCAGAAUUGGCUCUGAUAAUAAGGAUUGUGGAGCUACAGUUCUGAAUGCCUCUUUUAACAUGCUUUCCACUUUGUUGACAGAGACUCAGCACAUACACUACAGGCUGGAAGUGACAGAUGGAUGUUAAAUCUUUAAUGGUGGUCUAGUGAGAGAGAAAAAACUUUGGAAAAGGAAGCUCUUGCCUCAAGGAUGGGGAAUCCAAUGAAGGUGCUGCUUCCAGCCUGUAUCUUUGAAUGAAGUUUAAUUUGGACUACAUCCAUGUUUGAGAAUAACCUGCCCCUACAUUUCCAGGCAGCUGCUGGGAGGCCUCAGUCUGCCUGGAAAAUUUGGGUACCAGAUAUGCUGUGACUGCC